AACGAACGCUGGCGGCAGGCCUAACACAUGCAAGUCGAACGGGCACCAUCGGGUGUCAGUGGCAGACGGGUGAGUAACGCGUGGGAACCUACCCAGUGGUACGGAAUAACUCGGGGAAACCCGAGCUAAUACCGUAUACGCCCUCAGGGGGAAAGAUUCAUCGCCAUUGGAUGGGCCCGCGUCGGAUUAGCUUGUUGGUGGGGUAAUGGCCCACCAAGGCGACGAUCCGUAGCUGGUCUGAGAGGAUGAUCAGCCACACUGGGACUGAGACACGGCCCAGACUCCUACGGGAGGCAGCAGUGGGGAAUAUUGGACAAUGGGCGAAAGCCUGAUCCAGCCAUGCCGCGUGAGUGAAGAAGGCCCUAGGGUUGUAAAGCUCUUUCGGCGGGGACGAUAAUGACGGUACCCGCAGAAGAAGCCCCGGCUAACUCCGUGCCAGCAGCCGCGGUAAUACGGAGGGGGCUAGCGUUGUUCGGAAUUACUGGGCGUAAAGCGCACGUAGGCGGACUGCUAAGUC
rnacentral:rRNA from 1 species